UGGACAAUUGGAUGGCGACGGUAGCCCAAAUGGGCUUUGCGAGAGGUUUAAUGCUUACGGAUAUUACAAAAUCUAUUUAUCCUGGUGUCAAGGUUAGAUUAGUUGAUAAUUUAAUCUGACAACAAUUUACUUAUGAGAAACUCCCAGAGCUCUAUUAUUCUUCUGGCAAAUUGCAACUCCAAUUUCUUUUUGCAGAUGUUCGGAGGCUAUUAUAAGUGAAGCAAAACCUCUCUACGGGCCUUG
rnacentral:lncRNA from 1 species